UUUAUAUAGUUUAAAUAAAAUAUUAUAUUUUCAUUAUAAAGUUAAUUAUUAAUUUAUAAAUAU
rnacentral:tRNA from 1 species